rnacentral:other from 1 species
CCGGAGCUGCCCGGUGCGUCAGGCUCUUCAUCCCCGGGCCGAUAAGCACUCCCUUGGGAGCUGGCACUGUCCUAGCCGUGGUUAGGAUAUCUGGCGCCCACCUACGCAAGUAGGUCUCGGGAGGAUGUAACGCCAACGGCCAGGGUGGCUCCACU